ACGCUGGCGGCGUGCCUAAUACAUGCAAGUCGAGCGAAGUUUUUCUGGUGCUUGCACUAGAAAAACUUAGCGGCGAACGGGUGAGUAACACGUAAAGAACCUGCCUCAUAGACUGGGACAACUAUUGGAAACGAUAGCUAAUACCGGAUAACAGCAUUAACUGCAUGGUUGAUGUUUAAAAGUUGGUUUUGCUAACACUAUGAGAUGGCUUUGCGGUGCAUUAGCUAGUUGGUGGGGUAAAGGCCUACCAAGGCGACGAUGCAUAGCCGACCUGAGAGGGUGAUCGGCCACACUGGGACUGAGACACGGCCCAGACUCCUACGGGAGGCAGCAGUAGGGAAUCUUCCGCAAUGGGCGAAAGCCUGACGGAGCAACGCCGCGUGAGUGAAGAAGGGUUUCGGUUCGUAAAGCUCUGUUGUUAGGGAAGAAUGAUUGUGUAGUAACUAUACACAGUAGAGACGGUACCUAACCAGAAAGCCACGGCUAACUACGUGCCAGCAGCCGCGGUAAUACGUAGGUGGCAAGCGUUGUCCGGAAUUAUUGGGCGUAAAGCGCGCGCAGGUGGUUUAAUAAGUCUGAUGUGAAAGCCCACGGCUCAACUGUGGAGGGUCAUUGGAAACUGUUAAACUUGAGUGCAGGAGAGAAAAGUGGAAUUCCUAGUGUAGCGGUGAAAUGCGUAGAGAUUAGGAGGAACACCAGUGGCGAAGGCGGCUUUUUGGCCUGUAACUGACACUGAGGCGCGAAAGCGUGGGGAGCAAACAGGAUUAGAUACCCUGGUAGUCCACGCCGUAAACGAUGAGUGCUAAGUGUUGGUCUCAUAAGAGAUCAGUGCUGCAGCUAACGCAUUAAGCACUCCGCCUGGGGAGUACGACCGCAAGGUUGAAACUCAAAGGAAUUGACGGGGACCCGC
rnacentral:rRNA from 1 species